rnacentral:rRNA from 1 species
UGGUAGCAAUACCGAAGAAAGUCUAGUGGCGAACGGGUGCGUAACACGUGGGCAAUCUGCCUUAAAGUGGGGGAUAGCUCGGCGAAAGCCGGAUUAAUACCGCAUGUGAUUACUGGAGACAUCUUCGGAACAUCAAAGUCGGGGCAACCUGACGCUUUUUGAGGAGCCCGCGGCCUAUCAGCUAGUUGGUGAGGUAACGGCUCACCAAGGCUUUGACGGGUAGCUGGUCUGAGAGGACGACCAGUCACACUGGAACUGAGACACGGUCCAGACACCUACGGGUGGCAGCAGUCGAGAAUUUUUCUCAAUGGGGGAAACCCUGAAGGAGCGACGCCGCGUGGAGGAUGAAGGUCUUCGGGUUGUAAACUCCUGUCAUUUGGGAACAAUGCUUACGUAUUAACUGUACGUGAGUUGAUAGUACCAGAAGAGGAAGAGACGGCUAACUCUGUGCCAGCAGCCGCGGUAAUACAGAGGUCUCAAGCGUUGUUCGGAUUCAUUGGGCGUAAAGGGUGUGUAGGUGGCGCGCUAAGUCGGGUGUGAAAUUUCGGAGCUUAACUCCGAAACUGCAUUCGAUACUGGCGUGCUUGAGGACUGGAGAGGAGACUGGAAUUCACGGUGUAGCA